rnacentral:rRNA from 1 species
CACGUAGGCACCAAGCGUUGUCCGGAUUUAUUGGGCGUAAAGAGCUCGUAGGCGGUUCAGUAAGUCGGGUGUGAAAACUCAGGGCUCAACUCUGAGAUGCCACUCGAUACUGCUGUGACUUGAGUACGGUAGGGGAGCGGGGAAUUCCUGGUGUAGCGGUGAAAUGCGCAGAUAUCAGGAGGAACACCAGUGGCGAAGGCGCCGCUCUGGGCCGUGACUGACGCUGAGGAGCGAAAGCGUGGGUAGCAAACAGGAUUA